rnacentral:lncRNA from 1 species
UGGAUGCACCCUCUAACCCUCAUCAGUCCUAUUCUCAUUCAUAUUCCUUGCUUCAGCAACUCUUCAAGCCUUAGGUAUCUUAGAUACUCUUUCUUUUUCUUUGCUUUAUUUCUUUGCUUUUCACCAUUUGCUGACUUUGCUUAGCAACUCCUUCAUUGACUUUGUUCAAUAAGUCUUCCUCAAUAACUUUCUUUGUAUUAUCACUACUUCCGGUACCUCCUAAUUGCUUCUCAACACUUUCAUUAUUUGUCACUUCCUUGCUUUGCUUCUCACUGCUCUUUUUUUGUGAGACUUCAUAUCCUAGGUCCCUCUAUGACUGCUUCUCCUAUUUCUUUGUACUAUAUAUAAAUAUAAGGAUACUCUCUUAUAUCUAAUGCAAGUUUUAUGAUUUUUUUUAAGCUGAUUGUCUUUAUACAAUAUCCUAAUUUCUUGAUUUUCAUUUAGAACAUAUUCUAUGGAA